rnacentral:rRNA from 1 species
CCUACGGGUGGCAGCAGUCGAGAAUCAUUCACAAUGGGGGAAACCCUGAUGGUGCGACGCCGCGUGGGGGAAUGAAGGUCUUCGGAUUGUAAACCCCUGUCAUGUGGGAGCAAAUUAAAAAGAUAGUACCACAAGAGGAAGAGACGGCUAACUCGGUGACAGCAGCCGCGGUAAGACAGAGGGCUCAAGCGUUGUUCGGAGUCACUGGGCGUAAAGCGUGCGUAGGCUGUUUCGUAAGUCGUGUGUGAAAGGCGGGGGCUCAACCCGCGGACGGCACAUGAUAAUGCGAGACUAGAGUAAAGGAGGGGGAACCGGAAUUCUCGGUGUAGCGGUGAAAUGCGUAGAUAUCGAGAGGAACACUCGUGGCGAAGGCGGGUUCCUGGACAUUAACUGACGUUGAGGCACGAAGGCGAGGGGAGCGAAAGGGAUUAGAUACCCUUGUAGUC